AAACUUUCAACAACGGAUCUCUUGGUUCUCGCAUCGAUGAAGAACGCAGCGAAAUGCGAUAAGUAAUGUGAAUUGCAGAAUUCAGUGAAUCAUCGAAUCUUUGAACGCACAUUGCUCCCCUUGGUAUUCCGAGGGGCAUGCCUGUUCGAGCGUCAUU
rnacentral:rRNA from 1 species